rnacentral:rRNA from 1 species
UACGAAGGGGGCUAGCGUUGCUCGGAAUCACUGGGCGUAAAGGGUGCGUAGGCGGGUCUUUAAGUCAGGGGUGAAAUCCUGGAGCUCAACUCCAGAACUGCCUUUGAUACUGAAGAUCUUGAGUUCGGGAGAGGUGAGUGGAACUGCGAGUGUAGAGGUGAAAUUCGUAGAUAUUCGCAAGAACACCGAUGGCGAAGGCAGCUCGCUGGGACGGUACUGACGCUGAGGCGCGAAAGCGUGGGGAGCAAACAGG